GGCUGAAUAGCUUAAUUUAGAGCGGUGGUUUUGUAAUCCACAGGUGUAUAGUAUUACUUCAACCU
rnacentral:tRNA from 1 species